GACGAACCGUGCGAACGUUAUUCGGAAUCACUGGGCUUAAAGCGCGUGUAGGCGGGACGGCACGUCGGUCGCUGAAAGCCCCCGGCUCAACCGGGGAACGGGCGCCGAUACGACCGCCCUGGAGGAACGUAGGGGGACCUGGAACUUCCGGUGGAGCGAUGAAAUGCGUUGAGAUCGGAAGGAACGCCCGUGGCGAAAGCGAGGUCCUGGACGUUUUCUGACGCUGAGACGCGAAAGCCAGGGGAGCGAACGGG
rnacentral:rRNA from 1 species